UCUUUGUUAGUAUAUCGGUUAGUACACGCGCUUGUCAUAAUAACCGAGAGUACGCGCGAAAGCUGGGUUCGACUCCCAGACAGAGAG